rnacentral:rRNA from 1 species
ACCUACGGCCAUGCUACCCUGAACACACCUGAUCUCAGACUUUAAGCAGGGUCAUGCCUGGUUAGUACUUGGAUGGGAAACCACCUGGGAAUACCGGGUGUUGUAGGCU